GGAAAUGGGUCGCGACCCAACCCACGCAUUCCGCCCCCGGCUCCGAUCUGCUAAGCCCCCUCGGAUCGGGUUGCGGGUCCCCUCCUCCCCCCCGACCCACCACCGCUCGCCGCCGGCCGCCUCCGACGAGUGGGCGAUCAUAUUUAGAUACAAGAUAGCAUGCUGGAGCCAACAGCUAUGGAAGUGCCGAUUACUAGCUCAGUGAACACUGCAGUGGUGCCUGUGCCUGUGGUGCACAAUCCACGGGCACGGAAAUUGCGGUCUGCAGUUUGGCAGGACUUCACUAAGGAACGGCGUGCUGAUGGAAGCUGUGUUGCUGUCUGUAACCACUGUAAGAAGCAGCUCACAGCUACUAGCCGGUCAGGCACCACACACCUACGCAACCACCUCGCAAUCUGCACCACCACCUCCACGCGUCGUGCUGGUAAGCGCCGGAAGCUUAUUGUGCGCCGUAUUCUCCACAACAAAACCUCCACUGAUGGACAGAAGCUAGCUGCCAUUGUACUGGACAACUGCGCCUCUGGUGAGAUUAUGGACCAAAAACUGCUAGUUCUUGAUUCUCCUAAUAACUGGCCGUCUACAUACUUAAUGUUUGAUUCUGCAUGUUACUAUCAUGAUGUUCUCAUGCGCCUUGCAGAACAGGAAGCACAUUAUGGUGCUUUUCUCACUGUGAAGGAGUGGGCCGAUGUGAAAGCCCUCACUGAAAUACUUGAUGCGCUCUAUCAUAAGAUGGAGAAGUUUCCUGUGGAAAAUCCGACUGCAAAUCUCUAUUUUAAUGACAUGUGUGAGGUGCAUGUUCUUUUGAAUACCUGGCGUAAUAGUCCAUCUCCUGUUGUUGCACAAGUGGCUGACCGAAUGCUGACAAAAUUUGAGGGGUACUGGGAUCUUACUAGACCAGUAAUGGCAUUCGCAUCUAUUCUGGAUCCUCGAUAUAAGAUGAAGUCUGUUGAGUACUUCUGUAGACUCAUUUAUGCUGCUGAUCAAUUUAGAGCAAAGACAACAAUAGAUGACAUUCGGCAGAGUUUUACCAAUUUGUGCAGUGAAUAUGAACAGUCAGGAAAUUCAUUCAAGAAUCCAUCUGCUCUCUUCUACUCUGCAACCAGUAAUUCUUGCAUGAGUUCGGUAUACAGCAAUGGUGAUGAUUUUAAGACCUUCUCC
rnacentral:lncRNA from 1 species